AUUGAACGCUGGCGGCAGGCCUAACACAUGCAAGUCGAACGAGUGGCAGACGGGUGAGUAAUGUCUGGGAAACUGCCUAAUGGAGGGGGAUAACUCCUGGAAACGUUAGCUAAUACCGCAUACCUUCAGAUGUACCCAGAUGGGAUUAGCUAGUUGGUGGGGUAAAGGCUCACCAAGGCGACGACCACUAGCUGGUCUGAGAGGAUGACCAGCCACACUGGAACUGAGACACGGUCCAGACUCCUACGGGAGGCAGCAGUGGGGAAUAUUGCACAAUGGGCGCAAGCCUGAUGCAGCCAUGCCGCGUGUAUGAAGAAGGCCUUCGGGUUGUAAAGUACUUUCAGCGGGGAGGCGUGACCCGCAGAAGAAGCACCGGCUAACUCCGUGCCAGCAGCCGCGGUAAUUC
rnacentral:rRNA from 1 species